rnacentral:rRNA from 1 species
AGUGAACGCUGGCGGUAGACCUAACACAUGCAAGUCGAACGGCAGCACAGUAAGAGCUUGCUCUUACGGGUGGCGAGUGGCGGACGGGUGAGGAAUACAUCGGAAUCUACUUUUUCGUGGGGGAUAACGUAGGGAAACUUACGCUAAUACCGCAUACGACCUACGGGUGAAAGCAGGGGAUCUUCGGACCUUGCGCGAUUGAAUGAGCCGAUGUCGGAUUAGCUAGUUGGCGGGGUAAAGGCCCACCAAGGCGACGAUCCGUAGCUGGUCUGAGAGGAUGAUCAGCCACACUGGAACUGAGACACGGUCCAGACUCCUACGGGAGGCAGCAGUGGGGAAUAUUGGACAAUGGGCGCAAGCCUGAUCCAGCCAUACCGCGUGGGUGAAGAAGGCCUUUGGGUUGUAAAGCCCUUUUGUUUGGAAAGAAAAGCAGCAGGUUAAUACCCCGCUGUUCUGACGGUACCCAAAGAAUAAGCACCGGCUAACUUCGUG